UUUGCGUUAAUGAAGACUGCACAGAAAACCUUUCUAGGGAUUUGUGUGGAUCCGAUAAUUGGCAAA
rfam:Tupaia chinensis contig225661, whole genome shotgun sequence.